UACCCCGUAGUGUAACGGUAACACAGCGCCCUUUGGAGGCGUUAUUCUUGGUUCGAAUCCAAGCGGGGUAGCCA
rnacentral:tRNA from 1 species